UACAGAGGGUGCAAGCGUUAUCCGGAAUGAUUGGGCGUAAAGCGUCUGUAGGUGGCUUUUUAAGUCCGCCGUCAAAUCCCAGGGCUCAACUCUGGACAGGCGGUGGAAACUACCAAGCUGGAGUACGGUAGGGGCAGAGGGAAUUUCCGGUGGAGCGGUGAAAUGCGUAGAGAUCGGAAAGAACACCGGUGGCGAAGGCGGUCUGCUGGGCCAAGACUGACGCUGAGGCGCGACAGCGUGGGGAGCAAACAGG
rnacentral:rRNA from 1 species